UCUUCCUUUAGUACCUUUAAACUGUAAAGUAUAAAAGUUGAUCGUGCAGCCACCACAUAGGGCUGGUCCAAGUCCCAGUGGUAACUCUUACUUUUCCACUAACAAGCUUCCCUUUUACAGUGAAACAUCUCCAUUCACAGCACCAAGAGGAUCUCCAGACACCAAAACCAAAACUCUUGUAAUCUACCAACUUCUUCCUCUUUAUCGUACACUACUCAUCCACAACCAAGUCCUACUCAUAAUAUCUUGAUCUCUAUCCCCACUGCCGUCACUCAUUUCCAGUCCCUUUAUAUUUGACUGGCUGAAAAUUACCCGGUCAGUCUUUACUUCUUCUAAUCUCAAAUGUCUUUGUCCACCAAGUACUGUGUACAACAAUGUGGUAGUCACAGAAAUAAAUAUGUUGGAGAGACCAUGUUAGCACAUACUUUUAAAUGAUACAAGUAAUGACAUAAUACUUCCAGUGGAUAUUUUGGAAUCCAUAAACAAGAGGAAGCAAUGAGAUUAGAGGUAUCGAAGCCAGACAGGAGAUAAACAUUGAGGGAUAAUACAAAUUGUUUAGACAAAAGAGACAGGAAAAAAAUAGGGGAAGAGGGCACUCCAGAUUGAAGGACAUCAUAAGGAAGAGUGAGAGGAAAAAUGAUCAUCUUGACUGUUUGGGGAUGUAAAGCAGAGAGAAUUAAUCACAUCUCAGGAUGCAUCCGGGAAGUAUCAGAAGGUCCUUGUUAGGAUGGCAGCUGUUUUGUCGAUGGAUACAAAUGAGCUGUUGAAGACCUGCAUCCAAGGUACUCUGGAAACACCAGUAACGAGAGAUCCCUCUAGUGGUUCGAGUGAGUCUUGAUUUUUCGGUGAGCAGAGGAGAACAGCGAGAGAGAGCCUGUUUAAUUCCUAUGAGCUGUCGAGUUGAUGAGCUGGGAGGAGAGAGGUGAGCUGCAAUAGUCAGACACAAAGAAACAUGACCCAGUGGGAUCUCUUUCUUUGUUAUGGGGGUGGCAAUCAAGGAAUUUUAUAGACCUUUAGAGACUUGUAAGAUCCUUGCCACUGAUCUAUCAG
rnacentral:lncRNA from 12 species